rnacentral:rRNA from 1 species
GAAACCGUGUACGUACAAGCAGUGGGAGCACCUUCGGGUGUGACUGCGUACCUUUUGUAUAAUGGGUCAGCGACUUAUAUUCUGUAGCAAGGUUAACCGUAUAGGGGAGCCGCAGGGAAACCGAGUCUUAACUGGGCGUUAAGUUGCAGGGUAUAGACCCGAAACCCGGUGAUCUAGCCAUGGGCAGGUUGAAGGUUGGGUAACACUAACUGGAGGACCGAACCGACUAAUGUUGAAAAAUUAGCGGAUGACUUGUGGCUGGGGGUGAAAGGCCAAUCAAACCGGGAGAUAGCUGGUUCUCCCCGAAAGCUAUUUAGGUAGCGCCUCGUGAAUUCAUCUUCGGGGGUAGAGCACUGUUUCGGCUAGGGGGUCAUCCCGACUUACCAACCCGAUGCAAACUACGAAUACCGAAGAAUGUUAUCACGGGAGACACACGGCGGGUGCUAACGUCCGUCGUGAAGAGGGAAACAACCCAGACCGCCAGCUAAGGUCCCAAAGUCAUGGUUAAGUGGGAAACGAUGUGGGAAGGCACAGACAGCCAGGAUGUUGGCUUAGAAGCAGCCAUCAUUUAAAGAAAGCGUAAUAGCUCACUGGUCGAGUCGGCCUGCGCGGAAGAUGUAACGGGGCUAAACCAUGCACCGAAGCUGCGGCAGCGACACUAUGUGUUGUUGGGUAGGGGAGCGUUCUGUAAGCCUGCGAAGGUGACCUGUGAGGGUUGCUGGAGGUAUCAGAAGUGCGAAUGCUGACAUAAGUAACGAUAAAGCGGGUGAAAAGCCCGCUCGCCGGAAGACCAAGGGUUCCUGUCCAACGUUAAUCGGGGCAGGGUGAGUCGACCCCUAAGGCGAGGCCGAAAGGCGUAGUCGAUGGGAAACAGGUUAAUAUUCCUGUACUUGGUGUUACUGCGAAGGGGGGACGGAGAAGGCUAUGUUAGCCGGGCGACGGUUGUCCCGGUUUAAGCAUGUAGGCUGGUUGUCCAGGCAAAUCCGGAUAAUCAAGGCUGAGGUGUGAUGACGAGGUACUACGGUGCUGAAGUAACAAAUGCCCUGCUUCCAGGAAAAGCCUCUAAGCAUCAGGUAACAUUAAAUCGUACCCCAAACCGACACAGGUGGUCAGGUAGAGAAUACCAAGGCGCUUGAGAGAACUCGGGUGAAGGAACUAGGCAAAAUGGUGCCGUAACUUCGGGAGAAGGCACGCUGGUGUGUAGGUGAAGUCCCUGCGGAUGGAGCUGAGACCAGUCGAAGAUACCAGCUGGCUGCAACUGUUUAUUAAAAACACAGCACUGUGCAAACACGAAAGUGGACGUAUACGGUGUGACGCCUGCCCGGUGCCGGAAGGUUAAUUGAUGGGGUUAUCCGUAAGGAGAAGCUCUUGAUCGAAGCCCCGGUAAACGGCGGCCGUAACUAUAACGGUCCUAAGGUAGCGAAAUUCCUUGUCGGGUAAGUUCCGACCUGCACGAAUGGCGUAAUGAUGGCCAGGCUGUCUCCACCCGAGACUCAGUGAAAUUGAACUCGCUGUGAAGAUGCAGUGUACCCGCGGCAAGACGGAAAGACCCCGUGAACCUUUACUAUAGCUUGACACUGAACAUUGAGCCUUGAUGUGUAGGAUAGGUGGGAGGCUUUGAAGCGUGGACGCCAGUCUGCGUGGAGCCAACCUUGAAAUACCACCCUUUAAUGUUUGAUGUUCUAACGUUGGCCCCUUACCGGGGUUGCGGACAGUGUCUGGUGGGUAGUUUGACUGGGGCGGUCUCCUCCCAAAGCGUAACGGAGGAGCACGAAGGUUAGCUAAUCCUGGUCGGACAUCAGGAGGUUAGUGCAAUGGCAUAAGCUAGCUUGACUGCGAGCGUGACGGCGCGAGCAGGUGCGAAAGCAGGUCAUAGUGAUCCGGUGGUUCUGAAUGGAAGGGCCAUCGCUCAACGGAUAAAAGGUACUCCGGGGAUAACAGGCUGAUACCGCCCAAGAGUUCAUAUCGACGGCGGUGUUUGGCACCUCGAUGUCGGCUCAUCACAUCCUGGGGCUGAAGUAGGUCCCAAGGGUAUGGCUGUUCGCCAUUUAAAGUGGUACGCGAGCUGGGUUUAGAACGUCGUGAGACAGUUCGGUCCCUAUCUGCCGUGGGCGCUGGAGAAUUGAGGGGGGCUGCUCCUAGUACGAGAGGACCGGAGUGGACGCAUCACUGGUGUUCGGGUUGUCAUGCCAAUGGCACUGCCCGGUAGCUAAAUGCGGAAGAGAUAAGUGCUGAAAGCAUCUAAGCACGAAACUUGCCCCGAGAUGAGUUCUCCCUGAGACUU